CUAUAUACAAGUUGCAGUGGCAUAAAAAAACAAACAACUAGUCCUAACUGGAGAGGUAACAGUUGCUUGUUCACUGGGUUGGCCAAACUGCAAAAUGAACAAAAGUGGAGUCAGAAAGCAAAACAGUAUGAUAGAAUUUGAGAAACCUCAAGAAAAUCAGUAUCUAGCUCUAAAAUGGUAGAGUACAAACUGUGACAAAGGAGAGUACCAAGAAAUAAGGCUAUAGAGGUAGGUAGUAGCUACCUAUCUUGACCACAGAGCAGUGUAGGCAUUAGGAAACCAGGUUCAUAGUUUAGACAGAUCUGUCUGGCAACAAUGUAAAAUGGAUUAGGGGGAGGGGAUGAGAAAGAUGGUUGUCAGAGAGACCAGUAUAGGUGACGGGUUAUGAAAACUUAAAUUAAGGCAAUAGUGCAAUGGAGAUAGAAGGGCAGGAAUGUUAGAUGUAGUAAGCAGAUGACAGAACUGAUAGCACUCAAUCAUCAUCAACUUGAGUGAUGGGCAGGGAUUGGGCACAGGCGCCAGAUGAAGGAAAAAGCAGAGUGGAGAAUAAAUUCUGGGUUCAAGUGACAGGUGAAUGGUGGUGUUACUCACUGAGAAGAGGAACCGGUUCAGGGAGGGAAGGAAAGUGUGUUCUGGUUUUGAAUGUGUAGAGUCUGUGAUGCAUUUGAAAUAGCCAGUUCUAAUAUACAUGGGAAUAUAAUCUGGAGCCCAGAGGAGAUAAAUGUCUGGGUAAAGGAGAUAAAUGUCUAGGUGAAAGGUAUGGCAGUAACAGAAAAAACAGGAGUGGAUAAGAUCACUCAGAUAAAGUACUGAAUAAAAAGAAACAAACACAAAACCAGUAACAAAAGGCUUCUGGGGAUACCAAUAAUUAAGUGGCAGAGAAGUCCACAGAAGACAGAGACUGAGCAGUCAUAAAGGCAGAAGCAGAACCUAGAGAAUGAUGUCAUGGAAACCAAGGUAGUGCACAGUUUUCAGAAGGACAGGGUGAGUAAAUGGAGCCAUGAAGUGACUGGUUUUUCACAAAUCAACUGGCUGGUAAAACUUUCACAAUGCCAAAUAUAAGGUUUGGGGGUACACGUACUUACAACUGUAUUAAUUGAGACCCACGAGGCAAGAGAAGCACCUAGAAGAACAGAAUUACAAGGAAGAGAAUGGGGUUAGAAAUUUGUAGAAGACCGAGAAAGGUCUAAUGUAUAACAAUUUUUAAAACUUCAUGUGGAAAAAUUAUUCAUUUCACCAGUGACAUUAGGAUCUACUUAUGACCUCUGGUAAGGAGCAACACUGGUAAGACAAACACAUCCUAUUAUUUAUUGGGGCUUUCUUAGGAUUAAAGGUAAAUGUGCUGGUGUGACAGUUUACCCUGUGAUCUAUCAGAAUAGAAAACCUUACAUACUGUUGGCACUGGUGGUGACCAUAUAAUACAAUUCCCUUUUUACAGAUGAGGCCCAAAGAUCUUUAGUGACUUAACAAGUCACAAAAUCAGAAGUGGAAUUUGAAUCUAGAUCAUCUGACUGAAAAUCAACUUUCUUUCAGUUCUUUGUUAUGACUCAUUAUCAGGUUCUUAUUUUAGUAACCAGCUGUGCUUGGUCCCCAUCAACCAAGCCUGCUCUUGCCUUAGCAAAUGACCCUGUACAUUACAGAGGUAAACAUGAUAAACCAA
rnacentral:lncRNA from 1 species